rnacentral:rRNA from 1 species
UACAUAGGGUGCGAGCGUUAAUCGGAAUUACUGGGCGUAAAGCGUGCGCAGGCGGUGAUGUAAGACCGAUGUGAAAUCCCCGGGCUUAACCUGGGAACUGCAUUGGUGACUGCAUUGCUGGAGUAUGGCAGAGGGGGGUGGAAUUCCACGUGUAGCAGUGAAAUGCGUAGAGAUGUGGAGGAACACCGAUGGCGAAGGCAGCCCCCUGGGCCAAUACUGACGCUCAUGCACGAAAGCGUGGGGAGCAAACAGG